UACGUAGGGUGCAAGCGUUGUCCGGAAUUAUUGGGCGUAAAGAGCGUGUAGGCGGCCCGGUUAGUCCGCUGUGAAAGUCCAGGGCUCAACCCCUGGAAUGCCGGUGGAUACUGUCGGGCUAGAGUCCGGAAGGGGCGAGUGGAAUUCCUGGUGUAGCGGUGAAAUGCGCAGAUAUCAGGAGGAACACCAAUGGCGAAGGCAGCUCGCUGGGACGUGACUGACGCUGAGACGCGAAAGCGUGGGGAGCGAACAGG
rnacentral:rRNA from 1 species